GUGCGCAGGCUUAGCUGAGAGACCUUGAUUCCAAGUCCAUGAGAUGAAGAGACUAAUAAUGGGCAACGUCAGACCAGGGAGGCGCUGCUGCGGUGGGAAAGAAUGCUGGCCUCGGCGACCACUUCCUUCUCUCUAUUCUGCAGAGCAGUUAAAUGCUGGCCUUGCCCGAAUGUCACGCUGAGACCUGGACCUCAGGAACUCCAAAACACACACCCUUUCCAGAAAUUGUCAUUUCAUCAUUUCUGGACCAGAUGACUCCAAACCACAGAAAGGCACAAAAUUUUCCAUUGGGAUUUCUUCUGCUGUUCCCUUUUGACAGAAUCCUGGCAAAAUGCGUGUGAUGGAUUUUGAGGUAGCCUGUGUCUGAAGAAUCGACCAGGGUGAGCCUAGAGCCGGACUGCCGGGUAGGGAUUUCUGCCUCUGGAAGAUCAAAAGAUCUUACCCAAAGGAUCAGAUUCAGGCCGUACCGGAUGUGCCCAAAUCAUUUCCAUCUGACGCCCAGGACAGCCCAGGAGGCCUGGUCUUAGGGAACAGCUCCCAGAUAGUGCUAUUCACGCAGGGACCCCAAAAGAACCACGUCAGUUGUUUCUGUCCAGUCUGGGCCCAGGCUCUGUUUACAUCAUCUCGCUAGUUCUGUCAGCUGAGUUUUAGAAAUGGGUCUCUGUUUGCAUUCUGGUCAUGGACUAAACUCGGGGCAGGGGAAACCCUUCAUUCCUGUCUUAUCUGCCUCCCAGCUUCUCCCUCCCCACCAUAUAAAUGACAUGCUUCUUAUAAACCAGAGUUCCUUUACGAAGAUGGGUAAACUGAGGCACAGAGCAGGAAACUGAUGUGCCCAGGCUCUGCUUCAUUAUUGUUUAACAAAGAAAGGGACACCUCCCCGUCCAGAACAAAACCUCUGGAAGCUAAGAGAGUGUUAAAAGGAAAACACCAGACUUUUGUAAAGAAUCCUUUUGUUGCAAUUUCUGGGAAUUCUGCUUGCAGCCCACCUGCCUGGCCCCCAGAUCUUCACUGCUCCGAAAGACACAGAGAGCCUUUUAGUUCUGUAUGCACCUCAGCAUUGACCAGGCAUAAUCAGACAAAAUACACCUGGUAGAAAGGAUUUCCAGCUGCUGCUGAAGGCAGCAGUGUUUGCGUCGAGGAUGGAAGUUGAACAUGCUAGCGUUUAACAGGGAGGCAGUGUCUAAAGUGAAAUGAGACGGAAAGAUGUGACCGGUAGCCCAAGGCACUGGGCCAGGUCUGCUCAGGACCUCUGCGUCUGCUGGCUUGUACUAUCUCGGACAUUGUCCUAUCCCGCGAAGGCCCUGCAUUCGGCCCUCUAGGUUGUUUUUUGAAGACUUUUUUAGGGAAGUUUUAGAUUCAUAACAAAACUGGGAGGAAGGUACAGAGAUUUCCCAUACACACCCUGUCCCCACCCAUGUGCCCCCCAUUAUUUAUAUCAUUCACCAGAAAGAUACAUUUGUUACCAAGGAGGGACCUACAUGGAUGCAUCCUUAUUACCCAAAGUCUGAGACCUAAAGCCUAAGGCUUCACUCUUGGUAUAGCACACUCCGUAGAUCUGAACAAUGUAUAAAGACAUGUAUCCAUCAGCAUAAUAUCACAGGGAAUAUUUUCACUGUCCUAAAAAUCCUCUGUGCUCUGCCUAAUCACUUCCUCUCCACCCCUAACCCCUGGCAACCACUGACCCUUUUACUAUCUCCCCAGUUUUGCUUUUUCCAAAAUGCCAUAGAGUUGGAAACAUAUCAUGUAGCCUUUUCAAGUUGGCUUCUUUCACUUAGUAAUAUGCAUUUAAGAUUUCACCAUGUUUUUUCUUGGCUUGAUAGCUCAUUGCUUUUUAGCGCUGAAUAAAUUCCAUAGUCUGGAUGUACCACAGUUUAUUUAUUUAUUCACUGACUGAAGGAUAGCUUGGUUGCUACCUAGUCUUGGCAAUUAUCAGUAAAGCUACUAAUAACA